rnacentral:rRNA from 1 species
AACGAACGCUGGCGGCAGGCUUAACACAUGCAAGUCGAGCGCUCCUUUCGGGGAGAGCGGCGGACGGGUGAGUAACGCGUGGGAACGUACCCUUUACUACGGAAUAGCCCCUGGAAACGGGGAUUAAUACCGUAUGUGCCCUUCGGGGGAAAGAUUUAUCGGUAAAGGAUCGGCCCGCGUUAGAUUAGGUAGUUGGUGGGGUAAUGGCCUACCAAGCCGACGAUCUAUAGCUGGUUUGAGAGGAUGAUCAGCCACACUGGGACUGAGACACGGCCCAGACUCCUACGGGAGGCAGCAGUGGGGAAUCUUAGACAAUGGGGGCAACCCUGAUCUAGCCAUGCCGCGUGUGUGAAGAAGGCCCUAGGGUCGUAAAGCACUUUCGCCUGGGAAGAUAAUGACGGUACCAGGUAAAGAAACCCCGGCUAACUCCG